CACCAAGAUGGUUAUCAGAAGGACCCCC
rnacentral:piRNA from 1 species